rnacentral:rRNA from 1 species
GUUAAGCGACUAAGCGUACACGGUGGAUGCCCUGGCAGUCAGAGGCGAUGAAGGACGUGCUAAUCUGCGAUAAGCGUCGGUAAGGUGAUAUGAACCGUUAUAACCGGCGAUUUCCGAAUGGGGAAACCCAGUGUGUUUCGACACACUAUCAUUAACUGAAUCCAUAGGUUAAUGAGGCGAACCGGGGGAACUGAAACAUCUAAGUACCCCGAGGAAAAGAAAUCAACCGAGAUUCCCCCAGUAGCGGCGAGCGAACGGGGAGCAGCCCAGAGCCUGAAUCAGUGUGUGUGUUAGUGGAAGCGUCUGGAAAGGCGCGCGAUACAGGGUGACAGCCCCGUACACAAAAAUGCACAUGCUGUGAGCUCGAUGAGUAGGGCGGGACACGUGGUAUCCUGUCUGAAUAUGGGGGGACCAUCCUCCAAGGCUAAAUACUCCUGACUGACCGAUAGUGAACCAGUACCGUGAGGGAAAGGCGAAAAGAACCCCGGCGAGGGGAGUGAAAAAGAACCUGAAACCGUGUACGUACAAGCAGUGGGAGCACGCUUAGGCGUGUGACUGCGUACCUUUUGUAUAAUGGGUCAGCGACUUAUAUUCUGUAGCAAGGUUAACCGAAUAGGGGAGCCGAAGGGAAACCGAGUCUUAACUGGGCGUUAAGUUGCAGGGUAUAGACCCGAAACCCGGUGAUCUAGCCAUGGGCAGGUUGAAGGUUGGGUAACACUAACUGGAGGACCGAACCGACUAAUGUUGAAAAAUUAGCGGAUGACUUGUGGCUGGGGGUGAAAGGCCAAUCAAACCGGGAGAUAGCUGGUUCUCCCCGAAAGCUAUUUAGGUAGCGCCUCGUGAAUUCAUCUCCGGGGGUAGAGCACUGUUUCGGCAAGGGGGUCAUCCCGACUUACCAACCCGAUGCAAACUGCGAAUACCGGAGAAUGUUAUCACGGGAGACACACGGCGGGUGCUAACGUCCGUCGUGAAGAGGGAAACAACCCAGACCGCCAGCUAAGGUCCCAAAGUCAUGGUUAAGUGGGAAACGAUGUGGGAAGGCCCAGACAGCCAGGAUGUUGGCUUAGAAGCAGCCAUCAUUUAAAGAAAGCGUAAUAGCUCACUGGUCGAGUCGGCCUGCGCGGAAGAUGUAACGGGGCUAAACCAUGCACCGAAGCUGCGGCAGCGACGCUGAUGCGUUGUUGGGUAGGGGAGCGUUCUGUAAGCCUGCGAAGGUGUGCUGUGAGGCAUGCUGGAGGUAUCAGAAGUGCGAAUGCUGACAUAAGUAACGAUAAAGCGGGUGAAAAGCCCGCUCGCCGGAAGACCAAGGGUUCCUGUCCAACGUUAAUCGGGGCAGGGUGAGUCGACCCCUAAGGCGAGGCCGAAAGGCGUAGUCGAUGGGAAACAGGUUAAUAUUCCUGUACUUGGUGUUACUGCGAAGGGGGGACGGAGAAGGCUAUGUUGGCCGGGCGACGGUUGUCCCGGUUUAAGCGUGUAGGCUGGUUUUCCAGGCAAAUCCGGAAAAUCAAGGCUGAGGCGUGAUGACGAGGCACUACGGUGCUGAAGCAACAAAUGCCCUGCUUCCAGGAAAAGCCUCUAAGCAUCAGGUAACAUCAAAUCGUACCCCAAACCGACACAGGUGGUCAGGUAGAGAAUACCAAGGCGCUUGAGAGAACUCGGGUGAAGGAACUAGGCAAAAUGGUGCCGUAACUUCGGGAGAAGGCACGCUGAUAUGUAGGUGAAGCGACUUGCUCGUGGAGCUGAAAUCAGUCGAAGAUACCAGCUGGCUGCAACUGUUUAUUAAAAACACAGCACUGUGCAAACACGAAAGUGGACGUAUACGGUGUGACGCCUGCCCGGUGCCGGAAGGUUAAUUGAUGGGGUUAGCGCAAGCGAAGCUCUUGAUCGAAGCCCCGGUAAACGGCGGCCGUAACUAUAACGGUCCUAAGGUAGCGAAAUUCCUUGUCGGGUAAGUUCCGACCUGCACGAAUGGCGUAAUGAUGGCCAGGCUGUCUCCACCCGAGACUCAGUGAAAUUGAACUCGCUGUGAAGAUGCAGUGUACCCGCGGCAAGACGGAAAGACCCCGUGAACCUUUACUAUAGCUUGACACUGAACAUUGAGCCUUGAUGUGUAGGAUAGGUGGGAGGCUUAGAAGUGUGGACGCCAGUCUGCAUGGAGCCGACCUUGAAAUACCACCCUUUAAUGUUUGAUGUUCUAACGUUGACCCGUAAUCCGGGUUGCGGACAGUGUCUGGUGGGUAGUUUGACUGGGGCGGUCUCCUCCUAAAGAGUAACGGAGGAGCACGAAGGUUGGCUAAUCCUGGUCGGACAUCAGGAGGUUAGUGCAAUGGCAUAAGCCAGCUUGACUGCGAGCGUGACGGCGCGAGCAGGUGCGAAAGCAGGUCAUAGUGAUCCGGUGGUUCUGAAUGGAAGGGCCAUCGCUCAACGGAUAAAAGGUACUCCGGGGAUAACAGGCUGAUACCGCCCAAGAGUUCAUAUCGACGGCGGUGUUUGGCACCUCGAUGUCGGCUCAUCACAUCCUGGGGCUGAAGUAGGUCCCAAGGGUAUGGCUGUUCGCCAUUUAAAGUGGUACGCGAGCUGGGUUUAGAACGUCGUGAGACAGUUCGGUCCCUAUCUGCCGUGGGCGCUGGAGAACUGAGGGGGGCUGCUCCUAGUACGAGAGGACCGGAGUGGACGCAUCACUGGUGUUCGGGUUGUCAUGCCAAUGGCACUGCCCGGUAGCUAAAUGCGGAAGAGAUAAGUGCUGAAAGCAUCUAAGCACGAAACUUGCCCCGAGAUGAGUUCUCCCUGACCCUUUAAGGGUCCUGAAGGAACGUUGAAGACGACGACGUUGAUAGGCCGGGUGUGUAAGCGCAGCGAUGCGUUGAGCUAACCGGUACUAAUGAACCGUGAGG